rnacentral:tRNA from 1 species
GGCUAUGUAGCUCAGUUGGUUACCGCACUCANCAGUUGGUUAGAGCACCGCACUCAUAAUGCGGGGGUCACAAGUUCAAGUCUCGUCAUAGCCACCA